AGUGAACGCUGGCGGCAGGCCUAAUACAUGCAAGUCGAACGGCAGCACAGCAGAGCUCGCUCUGUGGGUGGCGAGUGGCGGACGGGUGAGGAAUACGUGGGAAUCUGCCCAGUCGUGGGGGAUAACGUAGGGAAACUUACGCUAAUACCGCAUGCGCCCUUCGGGGAAAGCCGGGGACCUUCGGGCCUGGCGCGAUUGGAUGAGCCCACGUCGGAUUAGCUAGUUGGCGGGGUAAAGGCCCACCAAGGCGACGAUCCGUAGCUGGUCUGAGAGGAUGAUCAGCCACACUGGAACUGAGACACGGUCCAGACUCCUACGGGAGGCAGCAGUAGGGAAUAUUGGACAAUGGGCGCAAGCCUGAUCCAGCCAUGCCGCGUGAGUGAAGAAGGCCCUCGGGUUGUAAAGCUCUUUGUCCGGAAAGAAAGCGCCGGGUUAAUACCCUGGUGUCCUGACGGUACCGGAAGAAUAAGCACCGGCUAACUUCGUGCCAGCAGCCGCGGUAAU
rnacentral:rRNA from 1 species